ACAGGUGGCCGGUGUUUGCAGGGGGCCGGUAACACAGGUUUUACUGUAGUUUAAAUCGAAAAGAUUAAAUCUUAAUUCAAAAUUGUAUAUACAAUUAUUACAAUUAUAAACAAACUAUAUAGUUUAAUAUCCAAAACAUGUUUUUGAUUUUAUGUAAUGUAAUGAAAAUCUUAUUUGUAAAUUAUUGGUUACAAUGUUUAACAAUAGGAAAUAUUCAAGAAUAAAUAAAAUAAAAGUUUAAUCCUAACAACACAAAACAUUCCAGGAAUAUAGGUACUACCGUUCUAUUCCGUGAACAUCUAUCUGAUUAAAUUAUGGGUGGAAAGUUACCACAAGAUAUUCUAUGAACAUAGUACAAUGUCUUCCUGGAGGGGUAAAAUUUUCCAUUACAAGAUUUUAAGAGAGGCCAUUUAUUGUUCAAUUUGCGUUCAUUUUCAAAUUUGCCGCGCGAGUAUCUAUGUAGCGUCGCGUGGUCAUUGGUCAUCACAUUUCAUUUUCAUAAGAUAACCGAUAACCUAAAAAUUUAGUAAAAAUUUUGAUUGGAAAAAAAUGCAUCGAUAAGGGGGUGUGGGAAAUGGAAAUUAGUGGCUUUUCUGCUGUACUGUCUGCUAGUCAAAUCACACAACACUUUUUUCUAUGCUCCUAGUUUUUGCUCUGGGUUCUGGCUGGAUCUCUUGUUUAAACAAUUUUAAUCAGCUGAAAGUGGCCUACAAAAAAAAAACCAAGAAGGAAAUGUAUAGCCUUGUGGCCAUGAAAGGCAAAAGAGAGAUAUAAAAAGUGUAUUGGCUAGUUGGAAGAAAGUCCACAUUGUCCAUGCAUAAUAAGUUAUUACUUUAUCAACAAAUAUCAAGAAGAUAGCAGGGUCACGAGCAACAACUUCAUAAGUUCAAGAAUAUCGAGGAAAUCCAGCUCCUCGAUACUACUGGGCAAACUAGAAGAUUGAUGAGGACAAAGCCUUUUGAACUAGUUUGAGUGAUAGGUGAUAGUGAAAAACGGAGCAUAGUGCUUGUGUGCUGUGCCUGUGUAUGUUAGAAUAGUGCACGAUCUUGUUAGAUUAGAUAAGAGACGCUAUGGGGUAAGCUCUUCAUUUUAAGAAACAGUAGUAAUUUAGGUUAAAUUAAAAUUGCUCAUUGGUCAGUUAUGACCAGAUUGUUUUUUUAUGUUUGGCAAAAAGGACUUAAGUCAGAAUUGCACAUUGAUAAUGUUUUGAUGAUUUCUGGACCAGAAAAAAACUGUUGUAGAUGUAAACUGUAUGUACAGUAGAAUCUACUACAGUACUGUAGAAAUCAUCAAAACAUUAUCGAUGUGCAAUUCUGACUUAAGCCCUUUUUCCCAAACAUCAGAGAAUUGUAAUGUACAAUAAUUCUCCUAUCUGCUUUUUCAUGAAUUUUGUAGGAGAUGAAAAACCAUUUUUAGGAUCAUCUGCUUUCACAUGUAAAUUUUGACAUGUUUUGUAGUAAAUAGAUAGUUGAAUUUACUACAAAACAUGUCAAAAAAUAUAUGAAAACAGGAGGUGACUAUAAAAAAAGUUUUUAGUCUCUCUUACAAAACUCAUGAAAAAACAAAUCGGAGGUAUGUCACAUCAGUGACUAUAUCCAGGGAAUGUCUAAAAAAUAUACUUUGAUGUCCCAAGAACCAAAUAUAACCUACAGUCCAUCUAAUUUACUUACUGUUGCAGGUCAUUAUCUACGCCAGAGAUCUAAGUUGACAUAGUUGCCAAAGUAUAAAAAGAUCCUGAAUCCAUUUUAAAUCAAAUAUAUCACAUAAUUAUUGUAAACGUGGAUUAUACAACAAAACAAAUUAAUAUUCAAUGUAAAUAAGCAAAAACUUAAGAAAUAGAGAACAAGAAUUAAGUUAUAAUCUUUUAAGAUUUGCAGUGCAAGAGUUUUUGCACUGCAUUGUUAAUAAUUAAAAAACGGCUCCGAACUCUUGGCAAAAAGCUGGUAGGUUUCUUUGUAUAAGUUUGUCUACAAUAACAACUAAAAAAGUUGUCAGAUACCUCGAUUAUUCCAAGUCGUUAUAAAAUUAGGUGAAAUUUAUAUUUUUAUAGUAGAGGAUCUUUUUAUAGUAAAGUAAAUAAUAAAAACAGUAAAUAUAAUAAAUAAAACAGAUACUUAUAGUAAAGAAUAUAAACAAAUAUGAAGUGUCAUCACCGUAACUGUCAAAUAAAUGUUACCAAUUUAUUCUAAAAUGUCACCUUCAUUCGAUUACAGUUACAGUGUGAUCCGAACAAAUCUGCUUCAUAAAAACGCUUUAUAAUCCAUUUAUACAAAUUAAAUGAAACAUAUUAUUGUGUAUUUCUUUAGGUUAACAUUAAUAGAAAUCUUCAAAUAUUAUUUCUACGCGUAUAUAAUAAAAUAUGUCUAGUGGCUGUAAUUCCAUUGUACUCGGCAAAGUGAUUCUAAAAAAGAACACACCUACCGCCUAAAUAUUUCAGUUAAAAUAAAUAACAGUUAGUAAAUUAGACGAAGUAUGUAGAUAUAUACAGGGUGUAACAAAAAUACAGGUCAUAAAUUUAAUCACAUAUUCUGGGACCAAAAAUAGUUUGAUUGGACCUAACUUACCUUAGUACAAAUGUGCACACAAGAAAAGUUACAGCCCUUUGAAGUUAUAUAUAUAUAUAUAAUAGCACUAAGGGCCUUAGAGGCCCAUGGCUUGAAAAGUUUGUUUUUUUCUUCAUUUUCACGUUUCUUUAUGUACUGAGAUCUCUGGCUUGAUAUGUGAUUUUUCUCCAUUCCUUCCUGUUAUUCAUUUUUCUUUUCUGACCCUGUAGCACCAUUCUUUCCAAAUCUUUUUCGACCUCUUGCUUCCAUCUAUUUUUCGGCCUUCCUCUUCUCUUUCUUGAAGCUGUAGUGUAGUUUAGUACCAUUUUUGGAGUCCUCGUGUUUGGCAUCCUUUCAAUGUGACCUCGCCAUCUAAGUCUCUGUGCCUUUAUCACUCAUUUGAAGUUACAAGAUGAAGUGAUUUUUUCCAAUAUAUCGAAAACUAUUAGAGAUUUUUUAUUGAAAAUGGACAUGUGGCAUUAUUAUGGCAGCAGUAUCUUACGAAAAAACUAUAGUAAAAUUUGGACACCCCAUAAAAAUAUUUUGGGGGUUUUGUUCCUUUAAACCCCCCCAAACUUUUGUGCACGUUUCAAUUUAAUUAUUAUUGUAGUACCAUUUAAACACAACGUUUUAAAAACUUUUUUGCCUCUUAUUGCUUUUUCGAAAAGUCAAUUUUUAUCGAAAUAUUUUGAAUAUUUGUCAAAUCCACCACAUAUUUGUAUAUGGUUAAGUACGAUUAUGGAGACUUGGUAAUAAUAUGCAGACUUAUUUAUGCUUUACAUUUUUAGGUAUAUUUUGAACCAUAUUAAAAAAGAAGCCAGAUCUCGAUAAAAUGUGCCUUAUCGAAAAAAUACAAAGAGGCAAAAAAGUUUUAAAAACAUUCUGUUUAACUAAUGGUACCUCAGUAAUAGUUUAAUUGGAACGUACACAAACAUUUGGGGGGUUUAAAGGAACAAAACCCCCAUAAAAUUUUUAUGUAGAGAUGUUAAAAAAGAAGUCGCAACUCGAUAAAAACUGCCUUAUCUGAAAAAUACUAAGAAACAAAAAUAUUGAAUUUAACUAAUGGUACCACAAUAAUAAAAUUGAAUUGGAACGUACACAAAAGUUUGGGAGGAUCUAAGGGAUCAAGACCCCCAUAAAAUUUUUAUGCAGUGCACAAAUUUCACCAUAAUUUUUCUUUAAGAUAUUCCUGCCAUAAUACUGCCACAUGUCCAUUUUCAAUACAAAAUCGCUAAUAGUUUUCGAUAUAAUCGAAAAAAUCGAUUUUCAUUUUGUAAUUUCAAAGGGCUGUAACUUUUUUUAUGUGCAUAUUUGUACUAAGGUAAGUUAGGUUCAUUCGAACUAUUUUUGGUCCCAGAAUAUGUGAUUUAAUUUAUGACGUGUAUUUUUGUUACACCCUGUAUAUACAACCGAUUACGCACCACCUUAAAAAUUGGGCAUAUUUGAUGUCUCGAAUUUCCUAAACCUGUUGUUGCAUCUAAGUGAUUUUUUUAUAAUAUUCUAGCCUAGGCCCUAGGCUAUAGGUUAAGUACCUCCUUAUGCUUGUCAUGCACGGGGAGCUAUACUGUAAUAUAUAUUAUAUCACAUCGCAUUCUAUAGUAAUGAGUGAGCCUGCACAUACGGAACCAUUUGUUUCCUGUCUGCAGGCUCACUCAUUACUAUAGAGAGCGAUAUGAUAUAAUGUACAUAUAUUACAGCAUAGCUCCCUGUGCAUGACAAGCUUAAGGAGGUAACCUAUAGCCUAGGCUAUAAUAUUAUAAAAAAAUCACUUAGAUGAAACAACAGGUUUAGGAAAUACGAGACAUCAAAAAUACCCCAUAUUUAAGGUGGUGCGUUAAUUUCUUGGAGAAGUGUAUUGUAAUUUAAUGUAAAUAAUGUAAUAUCCAAUAAUUGUAAUUUAAUAUAAGAUGUAAUAUAAGUUCCUUAAAAAAUAUAUUUUUUAUUUCCCACGACAUUAGAUGGAUGUUCGGCAGCAAGACAUUGGACCAAACUGGGACGUCCUAUGAAGGCCAAUUGACGUCCACUGAACGUCCCUUCGGAUGUUAAGUGGACCUCCAUUGGGCGUUUGGCAACGUGGCAUUUGGACCAAAAUUGGAUGUCCUGUUAAGGUCCAAUUCACGUCCCCUAGAACAUCCGGUUAAGGUCCAAUUUACUUCCGAUUAAGGUCCAAUUUACGUCCGAUUAAGGUCCCAUUUACGUCCGAUUAAGGUCCAAUUUACGUCCUAUUAAGGUCCAAUUUACGUCCGGUUAAGGUCCAAUUUACGUCCGAUUAAGGUCCCAUUUACGUCCGAUUAAGGUCCAAUUUACGUCCUAUUAAGGUCCAAUUUACGUCCGAUUAAGGUCCAAUUUACGUCCGAUUAAGGUCCAAUUUAUGUCCGAUUAAGGUCCAAUUUACGUCCGAUUAAGGUCCAAUUUACGUCCGAUUAAGGUCCAAUUUACGUCCGAUUAAGGUCCAAUUUACGUCCGAUUAAGGUCCAAUUUACGUCCCCUAGGACGUCCGAUCAAGGUCCAAAUUACGUCCGAUUAAGGUCCAAUAUACGUCCCCUCGGACCUUAGAUGGACGUCCAAUGGACGUUCGGUAGCGCGACAUUUGGACCAAAAUAGGACGUAUAAAGGACGUUCCUCGGACGAAAACGGACGUCCAAUGGACGUCCCUAAAGUCCGUGAAGGACGUCCAAUG